rnacentral:rRNA from 1 species
GACGAACGCUGGCGGCGUGCCUAAUACAUGCAAGUCGAACGAGAGCGACCGGUGCUUGCACUGGUCAAUCUAGUGGCGAACGGGUGAGUAACACGUGGGUAACCUGCCCAUCAGGGGGGGAUAACAUUCGGAAACGGAUGCUAAAACCGCAUAGGUUCUUUAGUCGCAUGACUGAAGAAGGAAAAGAGGCUUCGGCUUCUGCUGAUGGAUGGACCCGCGGUGCAUUAGCUAGUUGGUGAGGUAACGGCUCACCAAGGCGAUGAUGCAUAGCCGACCUGAGAGGGUGAUCGGCCACAUUGGGACUGAGACACGGCCCAAACUCCUACGGGAGGCAGCAGUAGGGAAUCUUCCGCAAUGGACGCAAGUCUGACGGAGCAACGCCGCGUGAGUGAAGAAGGAUUUCGGUUCGUAAAACUCUGUUGUUAGAGAAGAACAGCGCAUAGAGUAACUGUUAUGCGUGUGACGGAUCUAACCAGAAAGCC